rnacentral:rRNA from 1 species
CAAGGCUUGACAUCCCUCUGACCGAUUUAGAGAUAGAUCUUUCCCUUCGGGGACAGAGGUGACAGGUGGUGCAUGGUUGUCGUCAGCUCGUGUCGUGAGAUGUUGGGUUAAGUCCCGCAACGAGCGCAACCCUUAUCUUUAGUUGCCAGCAUUUAGUUGGGCACUCUAGAGAGACUGCCGGUGACAAACCGGAGGAAGGUGGGGAUGACGUCAAAUCAUCAUGCCCCUUAUGUCUUGGGCUACACACGUGCUACAAUGGUUGGUACAAAGGGCUGCAAGCCAGCGAUGGUUAGCCAAUCCCAUAAAGCCAAUCUCAGUUCGGAUUGUAGGCUGCAACUCGCCUACAUGAAGUCGGAAUCGCUAGUAAUCGCAGAUCAGCAUGCUGCGGUGAAUACGUUCCC